UUCUCCCUCUCUCUCCAGCUCUUCUCCAUGCCCCAGGAGCAAGAAACCCUAGGGUUUCUUGCCGCCAGGCCCAAAAAGGAAAGAAAAGCAAAGGAGGUGCUAGCCCCUCUUCUCUUGCAGCCGCCAACCAGAUCCCUCUCUCCCUCUCUUGCAGCCACCCAAGCAGCAGGUCCAAGAUCUGAAAUCUCUUGCGAAGAGGUUGAUACAAGUCCCUCUCAGAUCUGGAGUUGAUCUGAGGUCGUUUGAGGCACGGGUGAGAUCUCCAUCAACAGAUCUACAGGAAAGGCUGCAGCAGGAC
rnacentral:lncRNA from 1 species